CUCAUUUCUGUGUCCUGCCGCUCUAAGCACUCGAAAUUGGCCUCUGUAAUCCUCCCAACAACCCUGAUGAUCCCCAGUUGAGAGAGGGGACGCCGGGAACAGCUCCCAUUUGCUGGAAAUGGUGCCCCACCAGCUACUGGCUUAUUCACCCAGGUUGACUGUGGGGUCUGCACCCACAGGGCAGACACACAAGAAACGUCGUGCUCCUCUCCAUCUUCUUAAAUCUGAGUCAGAAAUCUGUCAUCUGUCGGGGAAGGGGGAAUCUUUGUUAUCUACCCUUCCCUCACCCCACCAGGGAUCCUUGGGUUCCAGGAGGUUCUGUGUGGCCAGGGCAGAGCAUCCCCACAGUCUAGGCUGGAGAACCUGGGUCAGACUGGGAAAACAAGCUGCUAGAGAACAGACCAAAGUUACUGUGACACAUGUAUUAUUUCAUUUUUCAUGCCCCACUGAAGCCCUAUAAGGUGAAUAGUAUCUCUACAGAUGAAAAAACUGAGCUUAAAACUUAAGUGACUUGCCCCUGUUAAAGUCUAAAACGUUAAAGUCUCCCGUCUUGUUAAGGGCAGAGCUGGAGCUGAAUUCAGGCCUGUCUUGAUCAUGUCUCAACAACUCCUCCAGGUUCUACGUUUUUUAAAAAAAGAUUGUCUAACCCUGAGAACAAAACCCCCCAGAGAAGGUGUCCCUCUCCCCCAGUUCUGGCCAGGGCUGCCUCUGGGAGGUCUGUGUGGGCCUGCCAGGACCACUUCCCCUCCCAUGAUCCAUCCAGCUGCAUGGUCUCCCUCCUGCCUCUGAGAAAGAAUGGCAUCAAAAUCUGGAAUCCACUGAUUUCACUGAAAAACAGGGCCGCCUGAGACCAGCUCCCAGCCUUGCUGUAACGGAGGCCUGCCCCCCUGGCUUCUAGGGCAUGAAGGUUGGCCUUCCCAUGUGAGGGAUGCUCUGGAAGGGGGCAGAGGGCACAGGCUAGGGCCCCAAGGGGGAGGCAGGAAAGGGGUGAGUCCGGGAGCCAUUGGGACCUUGGCUAAACUGGGUGGGGGACGGGAAGCCGUUCCCCUGAGCUCCCAGACUAUGACUGCUUCUCCCAACUACAUUCUCUUUGCAGUUAAACGAGCAGAUGUUUUGAUAAGUCUUACCCCUGAAGAGCUGGGUUGGUGGCAGUGACCCUACUCCAAAUUAAAUGGAAGAGACAAGUGGCCAGCAUAGGGGAUCCUCUGGGUGAGGAAGGGCCGCCUGCCUUCAUUGUGCCCCAGGUAGACUGUGCCCAGAUGUUCGUGGGGGCUGAGGCACUUCUUUUAAUUUAGAGACAAAGCCAGGAGAAAUGUAGCCGUGUCAGGAGGAGGCUGGGCAAGACGACCUCAGGGGUCCGUGGAAACUCCAGGGCCCCUCCCCAGUAUGCGAUGGUGUAGGAAGUCAGCUUGUCUGAAGGCAAAAAGGGCUCCAUGUGAGAGAGGGAGGCUACAAGCUCAGGUUUGCAAUGAGGACCAUUUGAGACCUGGAAUUCUACGUCAUCUGGGUGAAAAAUCCUCUUUAACCAGAAGAGGGAAAGGGUCUUGCCCAAGGCCACAGGGAGAUUUAAUAAUGCCAGGGCCUGCUGUGUCCCCUGAGGCCCCUCUAACUGGGGGGAGCAGUUUAUAAACUAAAACAAGAACGUGGGUGCUGCUGGAGGAAGCAAGGAGUAUGGUGAGGAUGCGGGGCGGGGGACUUGGAACCCAAGGGGACAAAGAGGAAGAGUAGCCAGAAAAGCGGCGAUGAGGCCGUCACUCCGCAGGCACCUGCCAGGUUGACUCUGCCCUCAGGAGGGAGGCUGAAGUCUGGGAAAUCCCGGGGAGGCUACAGAGUGAGGCCAGCGACUAGAAGGGGGCAGUUUCAAUCAGUCCAGGGCAAACGUUGAGGGGUGGGUUCUGAGUUAAGCCCAGACCUGUCCCUCCCUCUCAGUGAUGAGGACACAGGAGCCUUGAGAAAGCAGCCUGCCUGGGAUCCCUCUGGGGGAGAGGCAAACUCAGGCUGGAAGCCGGGCCUUCUCCAGGCCUCAUGAGGCUGCUGGAAGGGGUGGGACCUCCCUGCUUGCUCGCUUCCUUCCGAGGAGUGACCGGCACUUUGUCCUCCCACCUUAAGUCCCUUUCUUUUUCUCCUUCUUGCCCUUGGAAGGGGAGGGGUCCUGGAAAAGGCAAAGUAAAGUGAAGACCGACACUUCAUCAGCUAAAGAAAAUAGCCAAGCAAUAUUGCAGCAAAGAUGUGGGUAGCCUUCCCUGAAAUGGAUCUCAGGGUGAACUGUGAGGACCAUUACCCAGAGUCAGGAAGGCCAUUGUCACCACUCAGAGACCCAUCAGAGAGGGGACACAAGAAGAAAGAGACCUGUCUCAGGGAUGGGCUAAAGGAUGAUGGAAACUGCCAGAAACAGACCUGUCAUGAGGGGAGCUCGGCAGGUGACUGAGGAUACCUCCAAUCGUCAGGAAGGGAUGAGCAAUGAUCAAGAACACCUGGAGGCUUAGUGGCCUCACAAGCAGCUCUCAUCACACACACAGCUGUGCCCAGCUGGAUUCUAUUAUAGAAACCCAGGCUACCACAGACACAUCACAUACUUCUAUGGUAUCUAUCAUCACAUAGCAUAUCUAUAUAACGUCAGGGUGGGGAAUGAUUCCUUGACGAGGUACAAACUUCACAGUCCACAAGAGAUUGCCUAAUCUGGUUAUAAAGUACUGCAGUAUGGCCAACGAAACAAAACGGACAGACAAGCCAUUGACUUAAAACAUUGAGAAAUUAUCUUUGCUAUGUGGAGAUUCUCCAAUAUCCCUUAAAGUUGAAAGAAUACUUAAGUUCCUGCACCUAGAUUAGGGAAGGGCAAACUAUGGCUCACAGGCCACAUCUAGUCUGUCUCCUUUUUGGUAUGGCCUCCAAUCUAAGGGUGAGUUUUAUGCUUUUAGAAUUGCUGAAGAAAACUAAAAAAAAAAGUGUUUUCAUGACACAUGAAAAUUCAGAUUGUCCACAUCCCUAAAUAAAACUUCAUUGGAAAUGGGUCCA
rnacentral:lncRNA from 1 species